UGGUUCUGGCAUCGAUGAAGAACGCAGCGAAAUGCGAUAAGUAGUGUGAAUUGCAGAAUUCCGUGAAUCAUCGAAUCUUUGAACGCACAUUGCGCCUAUUGGUAUUCCAAUAGGCAUGCCUGUUCGAGCGUCAUUUAAACCUUCAAGCUUUGCUUGGUGUUGGGUGCUGUCCGCUGUUUUCUUUUUUGCGGACUCGCCUUAAAUGAAUUGGUAGCCGGCAUUUGGUGUGUUGGAGCGUAGCACAUUUUGCGUCCUCGGCCAUAGUAGCGGGCGUCCAGAAAGCUUAUUUCAACGUUUGACCUCGGAUCAGGUAGGGAUACCCGCUGA
rnacentral:misc_RNA from 1 species